AACGAACGCUGGCGGCAGGCUUAACACAUGCAAGUCGAGCGCAUCCUUCGGGGUGAGCGGCAGACGGGUGAGUAACGCGUGGGAACGUACCCUUUCCUACGGAAUAGCUCCGGGAAACUGGAAUUAAUACCGUAUACGCCCUUAGGGGGAAAGAUUUAUCGGGGAAGGAUCGGCCCGGGUUGGAUUAGCUAGUUGGUGGGGUAAAGGCCUACCAAGACGACGAUCCAUAGCUGGUCUGAGAGGAUGAUCAGCCACAUUGGGACUGAGACACGGCCCAAACUCCUACGGGAGGCAGCAGUGGGGAAUAUUGGACAAUGGGCGCAAGCCUGAUCCAGCCAUGCCGCGUGAGUGAUGAAGGCCUUAGGGUUGUAAAGCUCUUUCAGUAGGGAAGAUAAUGACGGUACCUACAGAAGAAGCCCCGGCUAACUUCGUGCCAGCAGCCGCCGUAA
rnacentral:rRNA from 1 species